rnacentral:lncRNA from 1 species
ACCAGUUGCUUAGCUGCUUCUGAGCAGCUGCAGGCAACGCACCACCUCAUCUAGCCUGAGUCCCUCCCCUCUUUAUAAGCCAACCCUCCCAAACUCCCAAGGCUAGUAGUAGACAAGGAAGCAUCAAUGGAGGGUCUCAUCCCGAUCAUCUACAAAGCUAUAAGCCAGUAUGCAAAUGGAGGACAAGAUCAUCUACAGGCCUCAUGGUUCCAUGAAUCACCUUCUGCUUACUACAUCCAACUGCCCGGCGACCCCAGCAGAUUCAGGUCAUCAGAUGCCCAAUCCUUCUCUUCCUCGGCCUUACCUCUGCCUGCUUCGACUUCAACGAAGUCUCCCCUCCGGCGAACCACCUCGCGUCGGCUGGCCUGAUGAUCACAAAGGUGAUCGACGCCAACCUGGCUUUCUUGGUGCAAACAAGAGUCCGCGUCGGUGAUCACGGGCCUCUGUUUUCUUCCUGCAAUAAGGCACAAACAUGCUAAGUCAGCAUACGUGUGGAUGUUCCGGCGAUAGAAAUAUAAGUGUGAUAUAUGGCAGUCUGUAAUUACUGAAUUUUACAGAGUAAGUAUGAUCUGCUGCUACUAUUUUUCAUGUGUUAGAAUUAAGACUUGCAGUUUCAAUCCGUAGGAUUAGGAAUAAUCAGCUUUUCUGGUAAGACAGAUUUUGGCAAGGAGGAGAAUUCUGUAUACCAUCCUGCUCUCAAUCGUCGGAUUCGAUCAUUAACGAUAAAUAAGCAAGCAUAUUGUAGGAUUAGAGACGAAUUCAUAUGAUCAAGAUUCAGAACUCUGCCCGGGUUCCAAAUUGCCAAGUGUUUUAUGGCUAAUACAAGGUCGAGAACUCCAUAUUGCAUUCGUUACUCCUCUUGCGAGAUCAGAUUGUAGAGCAACCAAUAUGGUGGUCUGGUCCUCGUUCAGAAUAAAGACCUCCAUUAAUUAGUAGAACCUGUAGAUUUGGCUACUCUGUUUCACCAUUGAAGAUCCAAGAAAUGAUCAUCAUGCAUCCUCGGUGUAAGAAAGUCACGAUAUGCAGGGUAUACUAACUACUCCAAGAAUUCUGUGCUCGUUUCAGAUGCAUUAGGCCAUCUAGUUUGCUAGGAACGAAAUCCCUCCGUGUUCGCAGCUCUAACUCUCGUCAUCAGUGUGCCGAUCUCCACUCCGAUAGACCAUCGGGUGGUGGUAUGCGGACACGGUCUGUGAACAGAACAGAUAGAUGCCGCAGGAAUGUUUCUUUUGUGAGCAGGAGAUACAGAAUGCAGUGGAUUCAAAUGCCAGGUGAAUUGGAAGACUAUCUGCCGACCAAAGCGCCCAUAGACCAUGAAAGGCCUCCUUCUAAUGGUCGGUCAGAUCAACACUACCAAGAAGGAAGGCUGCAUUUUGUGAACGGGAAACUAAUGAAAAGCACAUAGAGGCAGUGAUG